AAAGCUCAAAUUUAAAAUCUGGCGGUCUCUGGCUGUCCGAGUUGUAAACUAGAGAAGUGUUAUCCGUGCUGGACCAUGUACAAGUCUCCUGGAACGGAGCGUCACAGAGGGUGAGAAUCCCGUCUUUGACAUGGACUCCCAGUGCAUUGUGAUGCGCUCUCAAAGAGUCGAGUUGUUUGGGAAUGCAGCUCAAAAUGGGUGGUAAAUUCCAUCUAAAGCUAAAUAUUGGCGAGAGACCGAUAGCGAA
rnacentral:rRNA from 1 species